AUGUGUGUGUGUGUGGGUGUGUGUGCACGUGUAUGUGUGUAUUUCAAGCCUCCUCAGUGAUUCUUCUUAUGCAUUUGCAGAGUGGGACCUGCUGUCCCAGGUCAUCUCAGCCAGUCAGUCAAUGUUGCUCAAAACUCUGGGGGGUGCUCUCCCCUGAGGGACUCUGAGUCCUUGUGGAAAGAGCUGUGGCAAGUCCAAAAGGGCUGUGUGUGAGGGUCUGGUGGGUGGGGGGGGGGCAGGCAGCCCUGGGGGGAACAUAUAUGUGGACAAGAUGUUUUGUGCCAAAUUGUAACACACCCAAGAAGACUGAAUAGAGCCUCAUCCAGGGCAAAGAUGAUGAGUGAGAUCUGAUCCGAAAGCAAUUGUUGAGGUCCAAUCCCACAUGCAGCAUACUAAAGCUGUGGGACUUCAGAGGAAGAGACAGUCUGGGACUUUGGAUUAGUAACAUGAUGUGAUCGGAGGAAGUUAAAACUUUGUCUCCUUCCCAUGUCAUCUACAUAUGAAAACUAGAGACAAGGACACAGAAAUAGGAGAUGAAGCAGAUUUGAAAAGCCACCAGAGCUCUGAGAGGAGUGGUGCCCAUUCCCUGUCACACCGUCACCGUUCUCACCUGUGGCUGACUGCAGCACCCAAAGCUCAACCAGCUGCAGUCUAUCACCAACAUGAAGUUGCUCCUAGAGCACUCUUUGUUCCUUUAAAAAUGAUAAAAUAGUACAAGCACGCAGGAGUAUAGAGAAUAUUGUCCCUAUGUCUCCAUAUUUUCUUCAGCUGAUGUUUUAAAAGACUAGAACAUUGUUAACCCUCACCUGUGCCAUUUCCUGCCUUCUUCCUGCUCUUCUGAAAUUGGUAUUUAUGUUUUCCAUGUAUGUUUUUAUACUUUUACUAUACAUGUAAGUAUCCACACAUAAUAGAUAUGGUUUUGCAAGCUUUCAAACUUUAUAUAAAUGGUGUCAUACUGUAUCCUUUGUGUGUUUUUCAUUCACUGUUGUAUUUCUGAGGUUUAUCCCUAUUGAUACAAGAUCAACUUCAUUAUUAUUUAUUUAUUCAUUCUUUUUCUGAAGGGUGCUAAGAUUGUGUCCCAUUUUUUACUGUUAGAAAUAAUGCUAUAACAUUAUUUACAAUGUAUGUUCUGUAGCCAUGUCCUUAAACACAGGUGUUCCACUCUCUGUGAUCAUCGCGUCUCUCAGACCUGCUCCUCACCUGGCCUAGGCUCUGCUCUGGGGUCACCCUUCCUCAGCAUGGCAACUUGGCUCUUGAAGACCAAGUUGCACUUGAAGACCAGGUCUUACUCACCAGAAUUCUCCCUGGAUCAUCCUUGUCAGGGAUUCCUACCCCACCUUGCCACCCACACCCGGCCCCUCCUAAAGGGAAUGUUCUUUGGCAGGAACGAAGGGCAUAUGUUAGGUCAUACGGUGAGGAGACUUCAUGUGAGUGCUCAAUAUUAACUGGAACUCAGAGGAGGCUUGGUUCCCAGUGGGAAGGAGAAAUGGGAGAGUUUUCUUGGCGAAGGGACAGCAAGAGCCAGCAUAGGCAAAGGAACGUGGUAGUGUCAGGAGAGGACCACGUAAAGAGCUGGCCAGCAGAUGGAAGCUGAGUGCUGCUGGAGAGUAGGAGGCUGGAUUAGUAACGUGAUGUGAACUGAGGAAGUUAAAGGUUUGUGUCCUCCAUCAGAUUACUGCAUUUCAGCUUUGUAGAAGGAAGUGGCAGGUUGGGCAGUGCCAGUGGCAGGGAUGAUGGUGGCCUGGAGACCCUUGAGGGGCAGAAACAGUGGCUUACUCCUGUGCUUCUGUGGUCUGUUUCCUCACUUUGCCCCAUCCAUCAAGUGUUGAGGCUCGGUGGAGUUGAGCUUCCUUUUCCCUCCAUCACUCACAUCCCACUUCCCAUCACCUGCUUCCAAGCAAGAGAACUCCAGGUUACUGGCCUCCGGCAGCAGUCCAGCUGUUACCAGUAAACUGGAAGCUGACGUCACUAACAAGCAUUCAGGGAGCACCAAGAAGCAGACCAGAGGUCUCCUAAGCUUGACUCCUCUUCGGCAUGAGACUAAGGAAGCUCCCCAAGUUCCAGUCAGAGGUCUGAAUUUGUGAAUUUGCUGAGGCUGAUAGGACAGUGUGGGCUGUCCCUGAAAGUUGGAGGAGGUGACAACAAGGUUGGGGGCCUUCCAUAUGGGUGCCUGCUGUACCACAUAUCCAGUAAAAACAGAACAUUUACGAAUGCUGGAAAAAGGUCUCGUUUGUAAUGAGCAGUGGAGUGUGACAGCCUCUGACUGUUUCUUUGACCAUAUAUAGGAAUGAUCACCGUGAUAAUAACAGCAGUGACAACAAUCCCCGGAUAUUGGGCUUUUCAUUUCCAAGAGAGAGUAAGUAUUAACUAAACAGCUUCGAAACCCCCAUGAAGUGUUUAUUAUACCCGAAUCCCCAUUUCACCAACAGUAAGGAGGAUAUUUUAGAAGCCUUUUUUUUUUUUUUUUUGAGUCAGAGUCUCGCUCUGUUGCUCAGGCUGGAGUGCAG
rnacentral:lncRNA from 1 species